CAUUAAAAGUCUUAAUGAGGAGUGGGAAAUGUCGAUUAUAUCCAAGUUGUGAAGUUGUGAUGUUUUAAGUCCUACAUUGUAAAACUGUAUCAGCACAAUCAAAGCUAGUGAAAUAAGUGGAAUCAUUAACACUGUUACACUAACAUCACAUUAGUGUCUGCUCUGUUAAAAACACAGACUGAGCAGUAGUCACACAUUCUCUGGAAGAAGCUUCUGGAGCACCAGAGUCAAUAAUAUUCAUAAAAUCAGAGCUAUUUAAGAAAACACUUUGGGUAAAGACAACCUACUGAACAUGGUUUAUACAUGAACUGGGUUCAGAUCUGUUCUCCUGCAGCUUCUUCCUCUUUAAUGUAGUCUGUGUAAUGUUAAGGGGUUAAAGAAGAACAAGUGUGGUUUGGUUGAAGGUCGCUGAAUUACUUUCAUUAUCAAGCUGAGUCGCACUUUGUAUUUCUCCAUCUAAAGCCCAGAGCCGCGCAGAGACCAGACUCUGAAGUACUCAGUAUGUCUGACUCACUGAGGAACCGCAGGUUACAACACUGGCUUAAUGAGCCCAACUCGACCUUCUCCCAAUCGAUGAUAGAUG